rnacentral:rRNA from 1 species
UGGGGAAUAUUGCACAAUGGGCGCAAGCCUGAUGCAGCCAUGCCGCGUGUGUGAAGAAGGCCUUCGGGUUGUAAAGCACUUUCAGCGGGGAGGAAGGCGGUGAGGUUAAUAACCUCAUCGAUUGACGUUACCCGCAGAAGAAGCACCGGCUAACUCCGUGCCAGCAGCCGCGGUAAUACGGAGGGUGCAAGCGUUAAUCGGAAUUACUGGGCGUAAAGCGCGCGCAGGCGGUCUGUCAAGUCGGAUGUGAAAUCCCCGGGCUCAACCUGGGAACUGCAUUCGAAACUGGCAGGCUAGAGUCUUGUAGAGGGGGGUAGAAUUCCAGGUGUAGCGGUGAAAUGCGUAGAGAUCUGGAGGAAUACCGGUGGCGAAGGCGGCCCCCUGGACAAAGACUGACGCUCAGGUGCGAAAGCGUGGGGAGCAAACAGG